UUAAAGAGUUCUAUAACUCCCAAACCCAUGUGAACAUACCUUACGUUGCCUCGGCAGGUCGUGCCUACCCCGUAGCGCCCUACCCUGUAGUAGGACCUACCCGGUAGACGCGGGUAAGCCUGUCGGCGGCCCACGAAACUCUGUUUAGUAUUGAAUUCUGAACCUAUAACUAAAUAAGUUAAAACUUUCAACAACGGAUCUCUUGGUUCUGGCAUCGAUGAAGAACGCAGCGAAAUGCGAUAAGUAAUGUGAAUUGCAGAAUUCAGUGAAUCAUCGAAUCUUUGAACGCACAUUGCGCCCACUAGUAUUCUAGUGGGCAUGCCUGUUCGAGCGUCAUUUCAACCCUUAAGCCUCUGUUGCUUAGUGUUGGGAGCCUACGGUAAUAGUAGCUCCUCAAAGUUAGUGGCGGAGUUGGCUCACACUCUAGGCGUAGUAAAUGCUAUCUCGCCUGUGAGUUAGGCCGGUCCCUAGCCGUAAAACCCCCUAAUUUUUAAAGGUUGACCUCGGAUCAGGUAGGAAUACCCGCUGAACUUAAGCAUAUCAAUAAGCGGAGGAAAAGAAACCAACAGGGAUUGCCCUAGUAACGGCGAGUGAAGCGGCAACAGCUCAAAUUUGAA
rnacentral:rRNA from 1 species